CCCAGGCACCCUGAAAACAAAUUUUUAAAUUAUUAAUUAUUUUUUGUUUAUGAUAGCACAUAACCAUUGAAUAUUUUGUUAUUGUAUUUGUGUGCUUGUUUAUGUGUUUACUUUCUGACUCUUCUUACUGGGAUGUAAAGUCUGACUUGUUCAAAGCUUUACUUCCUUCCUAGAUGAGGGCCACAUUCUAUGGAAGGUGCUUAAUAAAUGUUGUUCAGUGCUGUUAAAUUCCAGUCUUGGCUAUUGACAAGUGCAAGAAGAAUGAAGUACUAUGCCUCUGAGACUACCUGGAAAAGAUUUGUCACCAAGGGUCACACUCCCCGGGAAUCAUCUGGCCACCAUUCACUCAUGCCUGGAAUAUCACAGUGGGAAAGAUUACCAAGCUUCAUCCAAAGACCACUUUAUAAAGACCUCUGAUAAAUCAAAUGAAGGAGCAGGUCUUGGUGAGAGUAUCCUUAAUGAUGGAGAUUCAAGACUCAGAGCCUUGCCUGUAUUCUGAUUGUUCUAAACAUAGCAACAGGACCACAACGAAAUGCUGGAAAGAAGAGGGAAUGGCAAAAUUGGCCUAAGCAAAUUUUUUUUUCACGUUUGGUCAGAAAAGAUUUUCAAAAAUAGCCACUUAGUUUUGAAGUUAAGACUCCAUCACAGAUAUUAUUCAUCACAGUAAUUUAUAUUGGACAUUCAACCAUAUUUUUAAAGUUAAUUCACAGGGGAAAAGAAAUGAAUGAAUGAAACAAAAUUUAAAAACCACGUAGUUGUUCAAUGUCAUGAAUGUUGCUGGACACAGCCCUGCUCUUACACCGUGGUUCUGGUUGCUUAUUUCCAAUUGAGACUAUCUGACCUGCGCCGGUAUUAAUUGAUUGUUUUCAAGAAUCCUACUAUGUGUGUCUGUAAAGAUUAGGAUGUUAGCUGCAUUUUCUUUCAUAAAUAACUAAUAUGGGAGAGGCAGAAAGUAUCUGUUACAUGGUAAACCUCUAGCCUUGCUACUGAGUGUGGUCCACCACCAGCAGCCUUGUCAUCUCCAGGAAGCUUGCAAAAUCUCAAGUCCCCACCCAGACCUGCCUGAUCAGACUCUGCGUGUAAUAGGGUCUCCAGGUGAUUUAUAUGUGCAUUUACAUUUGAGAAGCAUUGCUUUGGAAUAGCAUCUGAGAGACACCUUCAGGUAUAGAUAUUUUAUGUAACUCAUAAUCACCAGGAAGUAAUAAGUGAUAGAUGAAAAAAUAAAGAAUACUUUGAAGAGGCAGUAGGAUUAUACUCCUACACGUGUAGCAGUUGAAAUUUCCUUCUUUGAAAUUGACUUUGAACUCCAUAAACAUAAACAUAAAUGAAUGCCAAGGGAACAAAUAGGUCCUGUUAGAAGAUUAUGUGUUUUGCCAUCUUAUAACUUUCCUUUUAUGUUGUUUCCUUUUAUGUUAUGUAAUAUUGAUAAUCUCUCUAUAUCUUAUUAGUGGUCUAGGGUUUUUUUUUUUUUUUUGUUAUUGUAUUAAGAGGGGAAAAAAACCUCGCCCAGGCAUUCCUCAGCAUUUCCUUGUGGAUGUCUAGAUAAUCUCCCUUCCAGCCUCCUUGAGAUCUACUCAGCCUGGCCUAAUUCUUGAGAGUUUCCAAAAUUCACACAUCCCACCAGCAAAAAAAAAGAAAAAAAAAAGUAGAAACAUAUUUCAGAUUUUGCUUAGGCUACUUUUUAAACAUUAGAUUUAGUUUUACCCACGAUACUUCUUUUAAAAACACAUUAAAUGAAGACCAGCAAGGAGCAAUCAAAAUUAUAAAAAUGCAGGAGGCAUAUCCCCUCAAGCAAAAAAUUUGAGGCCCACAUAAGUUAGUCUAGGGAAAUGAGACCGGUGGAAGGCCUAAACACACAUGUUCACAACCACAGCAUAUGACACAGAGCCGUACAGCUCAUGAACAUCAAACAUACCAUUAGUCAUCGCGGGCUAAAAUUGGAAUUCCCAAUCAAAGGAAUCUAUACAGUACUAACCAGAGCACUAAAUAAUAAUGAUGGUGCAAAUCAUGCAAGCUGACAUCCUAGGUGUGAGUCACGAGCCGUUCUCACAACUCCAAAGGGCAGUUAUAAUAAAUAUUUAUCCCAUUGAAACACUUUUUUUAACUCAUAUUCUCUCCUUUAUCUACUCUCAUUCACCUGUCAAUGUCAAAACAUUUUACCUACUUUCCCCACUUUUGUACCAUUAAAUCCGUCACCACCUCUCCCAGUACUCUACUACCCCUGCCUUUGAUUUCCUCUGCUCCUGCAUCCUCUUGGGGAACACAAAUUUCCAAAGUAGGACCUACUUCAAGGGUUGGGGGACUGACUUUUUCGGCUUUCUAAUAGACCCCAGGAAAACAUAGCCAAAAUCUGAGUUUAGGUAAAUUGUCAAUUAUGGCUUCUUAUAGUUUAGAAAUAAUCAUUUAAAACAUUUAUAGCUCAUUAUGGCUUUAAAUUAACUCAGAGGUUACUCUUCUUUUAUUUUUACAAGAUCCCAAUGUGACGGGUAGUGUGGUUAUUGCCAUCAUACCCAUUUAUGGAGAUGUCAUUAAGUUUGAGGCAAAGUUCAGUGGUAAGCUGAGAUCGAAACAUACUUUUUGUAACCCUAAGUAGUCUCAGAGAGCUGCUUUGGAGAUUUUGUUGUUGUAGCUAUUUCUUCAGAAGCUGGCACACCUGAAUAUGAAAUUAUAAAAAGUUUACUCCACUUACAAUCUUCUACAAUCGGAAAUAAAUUCUGAAAUCCUAGAAAGGUUUCAGCCAGAGGAUGCCUUGUCACACAGUAAAGCAUCAAAUGUUUGGUAAUGGAGAGAAUAACGGGGUGGGGGGGGGGUUGUUUGUUUGUUUCAGGUUUGUGUUUUGUUUUUGUUUUUACUAUGCAACUGUGUCAAUGUAUGGUUUUUCAACAGCAGGGAGGAGGAGCAAAGUGGCGAAAAUCAAGUCUUCCUGCCAUUUUGUUCUCAACCCCUGUGUUAUUGGACUCGUUCGUCGUGGAUUAAGUGUCAGAGAUAGUAAACUUAGCAUUAGUUAAGAUGUCUGAGAGCCAAGAUAGAUAUCUCAUGCUAGUUCCAGUUAAAACCCUGGUUUUUCUCUUUAAAUGUGCAAAGCAAAGAAAUGGAAGAAGCGGUAACUCAAAAUGAAAACCAGAGCCUGAGGUGGGGAAGCCAGGCAGGUCGCUGGUCCCUGAAAAGGGUUGUGCAAAAGGUUCUCCCUUCUGCUUGAGCUUUCACUGUUAAUACACAUUUGCAGAGUGAAUAAGGGAAGACUUGACUGUAGUUUAAAUACUUGUUGUGAAAUCAAACUGUGAAUCUUCUUUUCCUACCUCAUCUUUCCUCAUUUUGCACUGUCCACUCUCCUCCCUUUCCAUGAGACAGUAGAGAUGCGUGCUCCCUGAUGUGCUCCUUAUCUGCAGACCAAGUCCCUUCCCCUAUUUGUUGGCAUCAUUCCUUGAGAUUAGUUAAGGUCAAAGUUAUUACAUUUCUCUUUCUUUCGAAGGACACUGUAAAUUGUUUGAGCUUCUACUUAGACAACAUUAAACAAAGUUGAAAGACCUGUUUUUC